CCAUGCUGCACCCCAGCUCUGUCUGUUGCCUAGCAACUCGAGUUGGUGCCACCACAAAGUGUAAACAUGGACCAAAGGAGAAGCCCUUUGGAGAAGAAGACGCCAAAGGGAAAGGGAAAAGUUCAGAAGGGCAGAAAGCAUUCAACUCUGCAACACUGUCAUCAUAUUCCACUUAUCAAAAAGUGAAUCCUGAGGACUGAAAUAAUUUGCAGAUGUGGUGGAGGAGCCGUUGCCAGCAACUCUGAGACCUGGGAAGAGGCUGGAGACUCCAGGCAGCCAAGGGAGAGGCUUCCUAAAGUCGAUGCGAGAGCCUGGCAGGCUGACUGGUGGAAUAGUUCUCAGUGGAUGCGGACCUCGGAAAGGUACUGCCCAGCGCCGUUUCGCGGAUGAAGCUGCAGACUGUUCACUUUUUAAGUUGCAAAUGGACUGUGUUCAUUAGACCUUUCACUAUUUAGAUAUCGGGGCUCAUCUGAGAGCGAGAAGUCUUCAUUCUCCCAGGUCUGCGUUUCCUUCCAGCCCCUCAUGCAACUCACAUAAAAAUAGGGGCUCGGAGAGAUUCGAUCCUGCGCACCAUACAGCGAGUGGCCUGAUGUUACCCAUGACUGAAUUGCAUCUGCAGAAAGCAAGUUUGGACAUCUAAAAAGGGCCAUUUGGGGCGGGGGAUUUGGCUCAGUGGUUCCCCCACAGCCUGCCUCCCAAGCAUGAGGUCCAGAGUUCGAUCCCCGGUACCAAAAAAAGAAAAUAAAAAGGGCCACGUAUCUGUUGAAUUGAACUGAGAUGUGAGAAAUUUCGCUGUAAACUAAUAACUAUUGUUAUUAUUCUAUAAUAUUUUGAGUGUUUACUAAGGGCUCUUUUCUAAGCCUUUAAGGUACAUUAUUCAGUUAAGCUUUUACAAAUAAAGAAACUGAGGUUCAAGGAUAUCCAGCUAGGAAGUGGCAAAGGCAAGAUUUGCAUCCAGGGCCCCCCCCCAAAAAAUUUAAAAAUUAAGUAGCUGGGCCUGGGGGGGGGGUCCACGCCUAUAAUCUGAGUACUCUGGGAGGCCAAAGCAAGAGGAUCGCUGAGAGUUGGAGGCCAGCCUGAAUUACAGAGCAAGACCCUGUCUCAAAACAGCAAACCAAAAAAAAAAAAAUUAAAGAAAAAAGAAAAAAAGAUUUGUACCCAGCAAACUGACUCCAGGCCACUCUGUUAACCUUUAUAAAUAAACUUAAAAUAGAGAGAGGAAGUCUCCCAUAUUAGAACUUAACAUUUGUUCCCCUUCCUCUGUUAGAUUUUUAAAUAUUACACAUCAAAUACGACAUACUACUCAGCUCCUGAUUUCAAAGUUUCUUCCUAUUAAGGACUGGUUAUCACCCCGAUCUUUUUCUUCUUUCUUUUUUCUCUGUGCUCUACUUCCUCAACACUCUUCCUUUAACCCAAGUGGCUGUCUCAGACCAGGAAGAUUAAGAAGCCAUGAAUAACUCUUCUGUAAAUUAUUCUACAGGAAGUUCAGCCUGAUCCAAUCCAGCUUGUCAGUGGUGAAGGCUUUGUCAGGGGUUUCUCAGCAGAGCAGGACUGGGUCAGCUCCUGCUGGCCCCCUCCUUGUGCAAGAGACCCUGCAGGAAGUGCUUAAACCGCAAUCUUAAACCAUGAGUCAUUGAUCAACUCCCCUACUUUUUUAUUUUGAGGCAAAGCCUCACUACAUUGUUAAAUUGCCAAGACUGGGCUGGAACUUGAGGUCUUCCUACCUCAGUCUCCCGGAGUGCUGGGAUUACAGGUGUCCACCACCAUGCUAGACUCCUAUUUUUUGUUUGUUUAUUUAUUUUAUUUGUUUUGUGUUUUUUGGAGACAGGGUCUCACUGUGUAGUUCAGGCUGGCUUUGAACUCACUAUGUGGCCCAGGCUGGCCUCAAACUCAUAUCAAUCUUCCUGCCUCAGCCUCCCGAGUGCUGGGAUUACAGGUAUGUGCCACCACACCUGGCUCCAAAUUUUUAUAUUCCAUUAUUAUUUUUUUAAUUGUUCCCAGGGAAUAACUCCAGGGCCUCAUACAUGCUGGGCAAGCACUCUACCACUGAGGUAUACCGCAAAGCCCACUAUAUAUUACUUUUUUUUCUUUCAGUACCGGGGAUUGAACUCAGGUCCUUGCGCUUUUGAGGCAGGCAGCAUAACCACUGAGCUAAAUCCUCAGCCCCUAACUAUAUAUUACUGAAUCUCUGCUGUGUGAUGGGAGGAAAAAAGGGAGGAGAGCAGUUUUCCAGUGCUUCCUAGUGUGAGUACUGUGUUAACGAUGUGUGCUGAGCUGCAGCCACAGUGCCUAUAAAUGAAGGAGUCCUGCAGGCCGGAGUGACUCUGCCCCUUCCCACCAGUGUGACUCUGAGAAGUCCCUUAACUUCUCUGUGCCUCAGUUUCCCCAUUAGUAAGGAGCAAAAUAAUAACUCUGCAUAUGUGCAUGAUACACAGUGUUGUUUUAUAUGUUACAAAAUCACAUACAGUGCAUAUACAUAUGUACAUGUAUGUAAUAUGUACCAGUAAGCAGAACAUGUAAUGUGUACACGUGCAGCAUAUAUAUUUAUAGUAAAUAGUAACAUAUAAGGACUAUUGUGGUUUUUAUUCUUUUUUUAUUAGUAUGUGUUUGCAAUCCAAAAUAAUUACGUUCAUCUUGGGGAAAUGGUACAUGCAUAUAUCAAAAUGAUUGUGUUGAUAUUUAACCAUUUCAGUAUUGUAUUCCAAUAUAUAAUGACUAUUAUGCUGCAGUAUUUUUCUAUUAUAUAAUAGAUAUUUAUAUAUUAGAAAACAUAAUACAAAAUACAAUAUACCUAAUAAUAAGAUAGAUAAAUAUCUGUCAUAUUAAAUAUGUAAACCUUGUAGUAUCUGCCAUAGAGCAAUGACAGUUAAUGUUUCUUCUUCUCAUUAUUAGCCAUUCUUUUUUUUUUUUUUUUUUUUUGGUACUGGGGAUUGAACUCAGGUCCUUGUGCUUGCGCAGCAGGCGGCGAAACCACUGAGCUAAAUCCCCAGCCUCUUCUCAUUAUUAUCGUGGUAGUUUUAUUUUAUUUGUUUUGCUGAGCCAGGAAUUGAACUCAGGACCUUGCACUUGCAAGGCAGGCACAGUGCCACUGAGCUAAAUCCCCAGCCCUUCUUCUCAUUAUUAUCAUUAGCACUGACAGACCAGAGUGCCCUAACCUCACUAACUACCCCAUGCUGCUGGAAAUGGACCCUCACACUUGGAGAAGUCCUGGUCCCAGCUGUAAUCCUUAUAUAGCUUUUUUUUUUUUCAGAGACAGGGUCUCACUUUUUAACUUAUUAUGUACCCAGACUAGCUUUGAACUUGCAGCAAUCCUCUUGCCUCAGCUUCCCAAGUGCUACGAAUUAUAUGUGUGCACUACCAUCCACAGCUCAAAUAAAAAAAUUUUUUCAAAUAAAAAUAUUUUUAGGGCCGGGGAUUUAGCUCAGUGGUUCCAGUGCCUGCUUCACAAGGGAAAAGUUCUGAGUUCGAUCCCCGGUACCAAAAAAAAAAAAAUUGAUUCCAAAAAUAUUUUUUAAAGGGAUGGGGAUGUAGCUCAGUGUGAAGGCUCUGGGUUCAAUUCCAAACACCAAACGAAAAAGAAUAAUAAGAAGAAAAUAAAACAGCCUUGACCACAAUUUCCAGUCUCACGCACCUCCCUAGAAAUAACUACUUUUGAAAACUUGAGGUAACUCUUUCUAGAAUUCUUUGUAUGCAUUUACACAGAUGUAUAUGUAAUCAUAAAAAGUAUAUAGGAAUCCCUGUAAUCCCAGCAAUUGGGAGGCUAAGUCAGGAGGAUUGCCAUGAGUUCAAGGCCAGCCUGAGCUCCAUAGUGAGUUCAAGGCCAGCCUGUACUACAUAGUGAGACCCUGUCUCAAGAAACAAACAAACAAACAAAAACCCCUAUAACAUCAUAGCCCACACUUUUGCACACACCUGUAAUUCCAGCAUUUAGGCAGCUGAGACAGAUUGAGAAUUUCAGGCCAGCCUGAGCUGCAAAGAAACCCUGUUCCGAAACAAAAACCAUAACAUUGUAAUCCAGUGUCACAUAACAUAACAAUGACAAAGAAACAAAGUGGCAAAUGCUUGGGUUUGCCAGUCACGGGUUCCUGGGCCCAAACUUGCCUCUUUCCUGGGAGGAACACAGCUUCCCACAGGAGGACGAUCAACCCUCCAGCUGCUGAGUUUCAGGAAGUGGCUCCCAGGUCACAAGAGCCCCUGUCAGGGCAUUAGCACUUGUUCGCACUCUCUCCAGCGCACAGCCAGGAACCUACUAAUUCCCUCUUUCAUUAAGGCCAAUCAUCAUCAUCAUUAAUUAACAGCCACUGUGGAAAUGUAAGAGAGGGUUCUGAAUCAAAGAUAGAAACCAGUAGAAGGAAACAAUCCCAGCUGGCUCAGAACCCUGCGGGCCAGGAACACAGGCCCAUGGACCAUGAGAGGACAGGAGGAUGUGUGGGACCCGAGGAAAGGCGAGGGACCUCCCUCUCCGUGCUGCAUGUGGGAUGGGCUGACCCGUGUCUAAGACUGUCGCUGACUGCGUGCGAUAUUCUACCGUUUUCCCCAGGCUAUUCUGCUUUUGCCAUUAAAAAAUAGUUCAAUUUGUUCUCUUGUCUGGAAAACAAUGGUGUACUGACAUCAGUUUAUAUAUAUGGUAUAUCGCCAAUUCCACCCAUGGCAUUGUUCUGGCCUCACUGUUGGGACAUCAGGGGUCCUAGGAAGCAACAUCCUCUUCCUCACUUGAACUCAGGGUAGACUGAAAAGUCCCCAGUGAAGUUGAUUAGAUUCUGUGGCUUUCCAUGAGUGGAAAAGAAGCUCGUCACCACCCUGGGUGUGGGUGACCUCAUUCACCACGUGAACGACCCAGUGAGAAGCCCUUGGUAGAGGGGAACUGGGACUCCUUAGACCCUGAAUCUGAGGACACCUGAUCUUGGGCUCCCCAGCUCCGCAACAGUAAGGAGAAAUAAGUAAUAAAUGUUCAUUGUUCACGAGCCCCCUGGUUGGUGGUGUUUGGUGACAGCAACCUAUGUCACUCAGCUUUCGGUCACUGUGACAAGAACGCCUGAGAUGAUCAGCUGACAAGGAGGACAACUGUACUGCGCCUCAGUGCCAGAGGGCUCAGUCCAUGGUCACUUGGGCCUGUGGUGACACAGUAUGUGACAGCAGGAGCACGUGGCAGUGGAGGCUGGGAGGCAGAGACAGACAGGAAGGGGCCCACAAUGACCUAACUUCCUCUCACUCGGGCUCCCUCCUUCCCUCCUCUCCCCUUUCCUCUCCUAGGACCUAGAGCCUCAUGCAUGCUUGGCAGGAGCUCUACUAAUAAGCUACAUCCCCACAACUUUUUUUUUUUUUGGUACUGGGCAUUGAACUCGGGUCCUUGUGCUUGCACAGCCACAACUUUUUAUUUCUUUUUUUUUUUCACCCAAGGCAAGGCUUUAUUGGGAAAGAGCUACCAGGCUGCCUCGAACAAUGGUGAGUUAAUUCACAUUUUGAGACAAGGUCAAGCUAAGAUGUCUAGGGCAGCCCCAAAAUUGAGUUCUUCCUGCUUUAGCCUCCCAAGUUGUGGCUCUCCUCCUCCUCCUCCUCCUUUUUUUUUUCCUGGACUUAUUUUGGGAUCUUUCUGCCUCAGCUUCCCAGAGUACUGGGAUUACAGUCAUGCACCACAGCACCCAGAGAGCCCAUCUCUUAAAGGUCCUAAGGGCCGGGGAUUUAGCUCAGUGGUUCCGCUGCCUGCUUUGCAAGCACAAGGUCCCGAGUUCGAUCCCCGGUACCAAAAAAAAAAAAAUUUAAAGCCAUUAAAGGUCCUACUACUCCAUAGGGCCACAGGCUGGCAACCAAGCCUUCAACAUGUAGGCCUUGAAAGACACUCAAGAUCUGAGCUAUAGCACAACCAAGAUUCCCUCUGAGAGAGACAGGCAUUUCUCACCUCACACAAGAGCCGCAAUGGGCACUACUGUAAAAUAGUGUGCUGCUAUGCCAGUGGUAGCCUCAUGUAUCUCAUGUUUAACUGCAUAUUUGGAUAAUCUCAAGGGGCCAUCACAGAUGACUGACGUGUACCUUCUCAGUUUGCACUUAGAAGUUGGCACACUGUGUGGUACUUGGCGAUACACAUGGAUGAAAUUGCCUAAUAACAUAUUUCUCAGAUUAUAUUUCCAUUACAUGUCACAUGACUGUAUUGAAAUUUAAAUCAAAAAACAUUUGGCCUAUGUGGAGUCUACUAGUUAAUUAGAAUUUUUUCCAGACCACUAUUUGUCCAAUAUUAGUUUUGAAAAUCUUUCUAAAAUAAAUCACAUCUUCUGAUGUCUCGUUAAUGCUUAAGAUUUUUUUUUUAAUUAUGUGGAAAAAUGUUUAAGUACUUUUCAGUUUUACUUUGGUUGAGUUCUAUUUUGAAUAUUAUUAUAGGGCUGGGGAUUUAGCUCAGUGGUUCCACCGCCUGCUUUGCAAUUGCAAGGUCCCAAGUUUGAUCCCCAGUACCAAAAGAAAAAAAAAGUUAUACAGUCUACGGCCAUACCACCCUGAAUGCACCCGAUCUUGCCUGACUAUUAUUAUAGGGUUUUUUUCCCUUGCAUUGUUUUUCUCUGAAUAAUUUUAAUUUUUGUAUAUGUGUGUGUUUAGUAAAUGAUAAUAAAGUUAUACCAAAAAAAAAAAGAGUCACAAUGGGCACGUUGGCCCCCGCCUGUGGUUCCAGCCCCCCAGAGGCUGAGCAGGAGGAGCUUGGGUUCUAGGCCAGCCUGGAUGACUUAGAAAAAUCCUAUCUCAAAAGGACUAGAGAUGGAGUUCAGUUGUGGGGUGCUUGUCUAGCUUGUCUUCCGUCCCCAGCACCCCACACACUCACAAAGUCUCAAGAAAGAAACAUGAGCCUGAUGUGGCUAGUCCUGAUUUCUUCAGACUAAAAAUUCUGAGGACAUGAGUUUCAGAAAGACAUUGACCUGACUUGCUGGUGGACUUGGGCUUUGUCCUGGGAGACAGAGGGAUGUCGUGAUCUGCAGUGCUGUGCACUGUACUUCAGCCUCCACCAUCCAGUAGGAAGGUGCUUCUCGUGUCCCUUGUGGUUGCGGGGAGCCAUGUGACUGAGUGGCCAAGGUGACCUGUAAGUGGAGCAACGCGUCACUUCCGGUUGAGUAUUUGCACACAUGGCCCGCUCAGGACUUUCCAGAACAGCCUUCUGCCUGGGUUGGGUCAUUAGCAGUGUCCAAGAUGACAGCUGCUGUAAGUCAAGGCCAGCCUGGGCUCCGUAGUGAGUUCAAGACUAGCCUGAACUACAUAGCGAGACCCUGUCUCAAAAAAAAAAGAUGGUAGGGCUGGGGAUUUAGCUCAGUGGUUAGCACAAGGACCGCAGUUCAAUCCCCGGUACCAAAAAAAAAAAAAAAAAAAAGAUGGUGGUUGCUUUACCUCCACAGAGUCUGUGAGAGACUGCAGUGGCCACUGGCUCCCCUACACACCGGAAAUUGGUGAGCAUCAGGGCCCCUGGAGGCGCCCUUCCUGCUGCAUGUACUUGGCUCUCUCUACCUGGCAGCACUCUCUGCAGGCUGAGCGGGUAGGGCACAUCCCCAGCGCAGCCCUCAGCUACAAGGACAGUGCUGACCUUCACACGGGUGCAGCUGCAGUGUCCCACAGGCCUUGGAAUCCUGCAGCAGCCCUGGAGUUUGAACCCUGCUGCCUUAGAGGGAACCUGCUCUGUGGCACCUGCUGGGGGUUCCCACCCUUCCCACCUUCUUCCCUUCCCUCCCCCAGGCUCCCAAAUGAACCAGUGAUCAGAAAUGUUCCUCCUGAUCAGCUUCCCGAGGAACCCGACCUCACCAGUUCUGGCAGGACAGAGGAGGCUGGCAGGGGAGCAGCCCAGCCUUUCCCUUCAGAGAGCAGAUGCUGAUGGCUCUUGGGGCCUCUCAGGCGGGGACAGGCCCAAGCCACUGCCAGCCUUUGCCGCUCUCUGUGAAAAAGACAAAGAAUGGUGCUGCAAGCCUGUAAUUGCAGAACUCUGGGAAGCUGAGGCAGGAGGAUGAGUUCGAGCCCAGCCUGGCCAAUUUAGCAACUUUGUGAGAUCCUGUCACAAAAUAAGAAACAAAAAGGCCUAAGGAUGCAGCUCAAUGUGAAGGCCCUGGGUACUGGAAAAAACAAAAGGAAAGAAGAGAAGAAAGGAGAAAUACCAAACAAAAAGGUAAACAACACUGCACUUUGGUUUCCAGAGCUCAGGCCCAGUGGAGGUGACAGGAAGUCUCAAUGGACAGCCCUUUCCGGAUGGGAGGCCCACCCAGGAGACAGGGCCAAGUCCCCAGAGCUCCUGUCAGAAUGGGAGGCACUGCUGCAGCUGGGAGAGGGAAGGUGAGCCCAAGGGGAACCUGGGAACCCGUCUUCUUUCUCUGAGCUCCCUCUUUGAAGCACCUUCCCCUGGGGCUGAGGGGACAGAAAGCCUGUCAGUGACACAGGCAGCCACGCAGUGCUGGCUCUGCGUAGGUCUGAGUGUCUUCCAUGGUCAGGAGCCGCCCCCUCCCUACAUCUCCUCCGAGAGGGGACCCUGUAACCCUCUGUGACCACAGUUGGCAAUGGUUGAGGCUCUGGUUUCAGAGCCACUUAUAUCAGUGCUGCCUUUGGCCCCAGCUCAGCCUUGUUGUGAUUGCCUGCUCCACAGGACAACUCACGGAGUAGAAACCACUGCUCUUGGGGACUCCAGGACUGACAACAACGGCCUCCCCCCUGCACCCUUCUGGUUCCCAAGCCUUCAGAUUCUCCCUGAGUUACACCAUGGGCCUUCUUGUUUCUCUAGUUUAUAGAUGGCAGAUUUGGGGACCUAGUAGCUCUGUGUCUCUGGAGAACCCCAAUACCUUCAAAUCUCAGGCUGUAAGAAAACAGUUUCUGAAAUGGAAGUGUUCCAGUUUUCUAUUCUUUGCUUAAGCACUUGUGUUUUGUUUUGUGUUGUGUUUUGCAGCGCUGGGGAUGGAGCUCAGGCCUGCACUCACGCUAGGCCAACGCUUGGGGCGGGGCUUAGCCCAGGGGUAGCGGGUGGACAUGGGGAAAGUGUCGCCUGGCCCCUGGCCGGCGGAAGGCAGGCUGCGUGUGUGCUGGGCCUGCUCGGUUUCCCUGCUUCAGGCACCAGCCGCUGAGUCCUCCCCGGGGACUUUCCUGGCUGCCAGCGCUUGUGUUCCGACUGGGGUGACCUCCUCCCCCUCCACCAGACCUGUGUGUCCACUGAUUGUCACAGAGAUUGGCCUGAGGCUGACCAAGCGGCCACACCUGGCUCAGAGAGCCUUGUACACGGGAGCAGCAGCAGGAGGUGAGAGUCCUCACUGCCCCUAGGGGAUGCAGCUUUAAGUCCUCCUCGAACCCCUUGGGAGCAGAGCGAUUGAGGACCAAGACAGGGCAGGCUGGAGUCACCUCUUCCUGAAGCGGUCUCCUCAGGCUGCACGCUCAGUCACAGGAGCCCAUUCAUGCUGAGGCUUCGGCCAAUUCAACUGAGUUUCCGCUCCUGGGAACUGAGUUCUGACUAAGCCCGCACAGAGUGAGGGGGACCAAGACUGCCCUCGGAAGUGAAAGAAGUCACAGAGAGCCAGGUUACAGAGGGCCUUGUAAGCCUCAGUGAGCAUUUCGGUCUUGAACCCUGUGAACUCAGAAGUUACUGCACGGCUGACUCAGGAGACCACAGGAAAUGGCUUCUCUGGGGGCACAGAGCAUCAUAUCAGAAGUUGUGGGCAUUAGCAUAUCAGAGCCAACAGAUAUUCCUGGUUUCCAGGUGUGGAGUGGAAAUUCUGCCUUUAGGACACCAGCUGGCUGGUGUGGUGGUGCACACCUAUAAUCCCAGCACUAGGGAAGAUGAGCCAGGAGGAUCACAUGUUCAAGCCUGGCCUGGGUAAUUUAGCAAGACUAUCUCAAAAAAUGAAAAAAGGGCUGGAUGUAGCUCAGCGCAAAGACUCUGGGUUCAAUCUGCAAUACCACACAUACACAGAAGCCAAAAACCAAAAAAUGCUUUAUUUACAAAAGUCAGUCUAGCUGGGUUUGGUCUGUGGACCUGUUUGCUGAUCUCUAACAUAGAAAGAAUAUAUUAGGAACAUAUAAGGACUUGUAUCAGGAUGUCUAUUGCAUUAUUGUAGUUUGAAGAGGAAAAAAAGCCAAAGACCUGAUACAACCUACACAUCCACCAUUAGUUUAUGAGUUCAGUGUGAUGGUUGAGAAAUCCUGGCAAGUUUAUUCUACAGAUUUAAAGCAAAUGUUCAAGGGAACCAGUGAAUUAUGGGCCUCCUGACUUGGACGAGCAUCUGUAAGGUAUUAGGUGUACACAGCAGUCUGCAGAACAACACAACCGACCUGCACACCUGUCCACGCUGUGGCUCCGUAGGGCCCUGCUGUCACAGAAGGCCCUCCUCCGUCCCUCUGAUGCUGAGCCGGGCCAUGAGGCUCGCUGUGACUGUGGAGUGUUAGCAGGUGUGAGCAGAGCCCAUCCCUGUGCCUGCAUAGUCGCUGCUUGCGUUUUGGCAUUUGGGUGCUGAAGACAGAACACAGAGCCUUGAGCAGGCUAAGCCCAUCCCUCUACCACCAGAGCUCUGCCUCCAGUCCUGCCGUACAUGGUUCCCCGUGGUUUCUGUGCUCCCAGGGGCACCUUUCGAAGAACAUACCCUGAGUGGCCACUAGAGCAAGGUUGACAAGGAGCAGGCGAGGCAAGCCCAGCCCAGGCACCGCAGCCUGAAGCAGAACUGCCCAGCCUGCACCUGCAGAGCCAGGAGCUUAAGAGAAAAGGCUUUGGCCGGGCAUGGUGACGCAUGCCUGGAAUCCCAGCACUCGGAAGGCUGUGGCAGGAGGACCAACUUGAAUUCAAGGCCAGCCUGAUCUACACAGCAAGACCCUGUCCCCCUACAAAAACAAAUAAACAAAAAAGAAUAAAAGCUUAGGUCCAUGUUUUGCUGCUAUAACAAAAUACCAGAGGGGCCGGGGAUUUAGCUCAGUGGUUUCACCGCCUGCUGCGCAAGCACAAGGACCCAAGAUCGAUCCCUGGUACCAAAAAAAAAAACCCAACAAAAUACCAGAGGCUGGGUAAUUCAUAAAGAAAAUAAAUUGUGGGCCAGGUGUGGUAGGGUACCCCUGUAAUCCAGAACUUGAGAGGCUGAGACAGUAGGAUCCCUAUGAAUUUGAGACCAGCCUGGGCUACAUAGGGAGUUCAGAGCCAGCCUGAACUACGUAGAG
ensembl:lncRNA